rnacentral:rRNA from 1 species
UACGUAUGGUGCAAGCGUUAUCCGGAUUUACUGGGUGUAAAGGGAGCGUAGACGGACUUGCAAGUCUGAAGUGAAAGCCCGGGGCUCAACCCCGGGACUGCUUUGGAAACUGUAGGUCUAGAGUGCUGGAGAGGUAAGUGGAAUUCCCAGUGUAGCGGUGAAAUGCGUAGAUAUUAGGAGGAACACCAGUGGCGAAGGCGGCUUACUGGACAGUAACUGACGUUGAGGCUCGAAAGCGUGGGGAGCAAACAGG